rnacentral:rRNA from 1 species
ACUCCUACGGGAGGCAGCAGUGGGGAAUCUUGCGCAAUGGGGGCAACCCUGACGCAGCAACGCCGCGUGAGUGAUGAAGGUUUUCGGAUCGUAAAGCUCUGUCAAGAGGGAAGAAACCCCGAUCGGCCAAUACCCGAUCGGAUUGACGGUACCUCUAAAGGAAGCACCGGCUAACUCCGUGCCAGCAGCCGCGGUAAUACGGAGGGUGCGAGCGUUGUUCGGAAUUAUUGGGCGUAAAGCGCGUGCAGGCGGUUUGUUAAGUCUGAUGUGAAAGCCCCGGGCUCAACCUGGGAAGUGCAUUGGAAACUGGCUGACUUGAGUACGGGAGAGGGAAGUGGAAUUUCGAGCGUAGGGGUGAAAUCCGUAGAUAUUCGAAGGAACACCAGUGGCGAAGGCGGCUUCCUGGACCGAUACUGACGCUGAGACGCGAAAGCGUGGGGAGCGAACAGGAUUAGAUACCCUGGUAGUCCACGCCGUAAACGCUGGGUACUAGGUGUUGCGGGUAUUGACCCCUGCAGUGCCGAAGCUAACGCAUUAAGUACCCCGCCUGGGGAGUACGGUCGCAAGACUAAAACUCAAAGGAAUUGACGG